rnacentral:rRNA from 1 species
UACGAAGGGGGCUAGCGUUGUUCGGAAUUACUGGGCGUAAAGAGCUCGUAGGUGGUUUGUCGCGUUGUUCGUGAAAACUCACAGCUCAACUGUGGGCGUGCGGGCGAUACGGGCAGACUAGAGUACUGCAGGGGAGACUGGAAUUCCUGGUGUAGCGGUGGAAUGCGCAGAUAUCAGGAGGAACACCGGUGGCGAAGGCGGGUCUCUGGGCCGAUAACUGACGCUGAGGAGCGAAAGCGUGGGGAGCGAACAGG